rnacentral:rRNA from 1 species
UAGGGAAUCUUCCGCAAUGGACGAAAGUCUGACGGAGCAACGCCGCGUGAGCGAAGAAGGUCUUCGGAUCGUAAAGCUCUGUUGUUAGGGAAGAACAAGUACCGGAGUAACUGUCGGUACCUUGACGGUACCUAACCAGAAAGCCACGGCUAACUACGUGCCAGCAGCCGCGGUAAUACGUAGGUGGCAAGCGUUGUCCGGAAUCAUUGGGCGUAAAGCGCGCGCAGGCGGUCCUUUAAGUCUGAUGUGAAAUCUUGCGGCUCAACCGUAAGCGGUCAUUGGAAACUGGGGGACUUGAGUGCAGGAGAGGAAAGCGGAAUUCCAUGUGUAGCGGUGAAAUGCGUAGAGAUAUGGAGGAACACCAGUGGCGAAGGCGGCUUUCUGGCCUGUAACUGACGCUGAGGCGCGAAAGCGUGGGGAGCAAACAGGAUUAGAUACCCUGGUAGUCCACGCCGUAAACGAUGAGUGCUAAGUGUUGGAGGGUUUCCGCCCUUCAGUGCUGCAGCUAACGCAUUAAGCACUCCGCCUGGGGAGUACGGUCGCAAGACUG